GACGAACGCUGGCGGCGCGCCUAACACAUGCAAGUCGAACGAGCGAGAGAGAGCUUGCUUUCUCGAGCGAGUGGCGAACGGGUGAGUAACGCGUGAGGAACCUGCCUCAAAGAGGGGGACAACAGUUGGAAACGACUGCUAAUACCGCAUAAGCCCACGACCCGGCAUCGGGUAGAGGGAAAAGGAGCAAUCCGCUUUGAGAUGGCCUCGCGUCCGAUUAGCUAGUUGGUGAGGUAACGGCCCACCAAGGCGACGAUCGGUAGCCGGACUGAGAGGUUGAACCGCGACAUCUAGGCUGAGAAACGGCCGCGACUCCUACGGGAGGCGGGAGUGGGGGAUAUAGCACAAUGGGGGGAAUGCUGAUGCAGCGCCGCCGGGUGGAGGAAGAAGGUCUUCGGAUUGUAAACUCCUGUUGUUGAGGAAGAUAAUGACGGUACUCAACAAGGAAGUGACGGCUAACUACGUG
rnacentral:rRNA from 1 species